rnacentral:rRNA from 1 species
UCGAGAAUUUUUCACAAUGGGCGAAAGCCUGAUGGAGCGACGCCGCGUGGGGGAUGAAUGGCUUCGGCCCGUAAACCCCUGUCAUUCGCGAGCAAACGUUAUUAUUUAAAAGAUGAUAGCCUGAUAGUAGCGAAAGAGGAAGGGACGGCUAACUCUGUGCCAGCAGCCGCGGUAAUACAGAGGUCCCAAGCGUUGUUCGGAUUUACUGGGCGUAAAGGGUGCGUAGGUGGCGGUGUAAGUCGGAUGUGAAAUCUCCGAGCUCAACUCGGAAACUGCAUUGGAAACUACAUUGCUCGAGGGUUGGAGAGGGGACUGGAAUACUUGGUGUAGCAGUGAAAUGCGUAGAUAUCAAGUGGAACACCAGUGGCGAAGGCGAGUCCCUGGACAACUCCUGACACUGAGGCACGAAAGCUAGGG